rnacentral:lncRNA from 1 species
UGUGCUUGGCUUCUUCACUUUAAUGUCAACAUGGUCACACCUUGAACCUUUGGAAUCUUGCUUUGCCAAUUAACUUCCAUCAUGCUGCAUUUUGCCCUGCUAUACCAACCUGCUGCAACGCCUAACCUGCACAGAACUCACCAUUAGUGGAUGAGAACCCAGAUGAAAGUAAGUCUGGCUCUCAAAUUAAUAGCAAGAAGUUAGAAAUGCUUGAACUCGAAAAAACGGGAAACAAUAGGUGAAAUACUAAAAUUAGAUCCCAGUUACAAGCCUCCGCCUGGUUUUAAACCACUGUUAAAAGAACACAGUGUUCCUUUGCUUGCCCAAGAAUAUCCUGGGUACAAAUUUAUUGGUCUAAUAUAUGGGCCUGAAGGUGAUAAUCAAAAGCGACUAGAGAGGGAAACUGGCACCAAGAUAAAAAUUCGUGGAACCAAAGCAGACACAGGAGAGAAAAGUGAAAUUAAACCAGGUAUUAAUGUCCAGUGCAGUUACGAAGAGAUGCAUGUUAACAUAUCAGCUGAUAGUUUUGACAAAGUGGAUGCAACAAUUUCCAUCAUUGAACUACUAAUUUUCUCUGUAACUGGGAGUUCAGCUGCUGGUUCCACACCUUCUGUAUCUGUUUCUGGGGAUUGCACUAAUGAUCUGAAUCAAAACCAGGACGGACCCCCAUCUCAUGCAAUUUCUCUAUCUCUGGAAAACCCGACUGU